UGCCACAGACUGCCGAAUCCUGUCCGGUCGGGCAGGAACGGGGGACCCAAUCUUGACGGGGCGUAUUGCCGGGAAACCGGCAUAGGGCAACCUUUCGGCCCGAGCCCGCCAGCUAACCUCGUAGGCAUCGAAGGGAAAGCAC
rnacentral:sRNA from 2 species